UAGGGAAUCUUCCACAAUGGACGCAAGUCUGAUGGAGCAACGCCGCGUGAGUGAAGAAGGUUUUCGGAUCGUAAAGCUCUGUUGUUGGUGAAGAAGGAUAGAGGCAGUAACUGGUCUUUAUUUGACGGUAAUCAACCAGAAAGUCACGGCUAACUACGUGCCAGCAGCCGCGGUAAUACGUAGGUGGCAAGCGUUGUCCGGAUUUAUUGGGCGUAAAGCGAGCGCAGGCGGAAUGAUAAGUCUUAUGUGAAAGGCCACGGCGCAACCGUGGGACUGCAUCGGAAACUGUCAUUCUUGAGUGCAGAAGAGGAGAGUGGAAUUCCAUGUGUAGCGGUGGAAUGCGUAGAUAUAUGGACGAACACCAGUGGCGAAGGCGGCGCUCUGGUCUGCAACUGACGCUGAGGCUCGAAAGCAUGGGUAGCGAACAGG
rnacentral:rRNA from 1 species